UACAGAGGGGGCAAGCGUUGUUCGGAAUUACUGGGCGUAAAGGGCGCGUAUGCGGCCUUCUAAGUCGAACGUGAAAUCCCCGGGCUCAACCCGGGAACUGCGUCCGAUACUGGAAGGCUUGAAUCCGGGAGAGGGUCGCGGAAUUCCCGGUGUAGAGGUGAAAUUCGUAGAUAUCGGGAGGAACACCGGUGGCGAAGGCGGCGACCUGGGUCGAGACUGACGCUGAGGCGCGAAAGCGUGGGGAGCAAACAGG
rnacentral:rRNA from 1 species